AUCAAAUUAAAAAAUAGGGAAGGGGGAAAAAAAUGAAAAAUUUCUCAGUCUAUAUGAUUCUUUUAGUUGCCCUCCUCAUGACAUCAGGCAAUGAGGUAAUGGUGGUGGAUGCUGGAAAAUGUACAGAUAUACUUGACAAUGGAAAAAAUUGCACUGCCAAUGGUUGUCAAGGUGAUUGUGAGGCGGUAUUUGGAUUACCUGUUAAAGGACAAUGCAUUUCUAAGUUAGAAUGUCAAUGUACUUAUCCUUGUUAAUUUUGUGUAAUUUUCAAUAUUUAAGGUUUUAACAAUAAAAGACUGAUCUAUAGAUCAUUUUGUUUUUUA